rnacentral:lncRNA from 1 species
UACGACUGUGACGUCAAGGGCCGUGGAUAGCGUCGUCCCAUAGACGGCGCAGUGUACUGCCGUGGCGGUGCAGAGUGGCAGGGACGUGCAAUCUCCGGCUUGGGAAGCGAACUUGUGGUGCCUCACACGGAGGAGGUACCCAUGCAAGCCACCUGUUCGACAGAGUGCCAGAGCGAAGGAAUACCGCCAGCCUAACAGGUUUCUAUCAUAAACCUGCUUCCCGUUCCUCCAUGCCUCUGCUUUGUGAUUUUAAAUCAAGCAUCCGAGUUAAACAAAACUAGUGGAAACGAAUUCUCGGGUGCAACGAUUAACCAGGAGCGAUAUAGGAUAGGUUAGACUGAGAAGCCUGGAGCCCAGGACUAAGGCAAGGAGCCAAGAACACAGGUUUUGAUCUCUAGUCAUUUAUCUGAAACGCUAGUUAAAGAAACUGAAAAUCGUAAUUGUUAUGAUGAAAGUACAGUUCCGUACACAGCUCUACCAUGUAUGUAUGUUCCUUUCAUUUUAGGCAAGUCAUCUUGACUAUAUUGUACUUUUUUUUAGCAAGACUAUAUUAUACUUUGCUAACACGCAGAAUUCUUAUUAAGUUCCAAAGCAAUAUAACAGUAACUUUAAGUUGGCUAACUGGAAAGAUUGGUUAAGGUAAAUGCAGGGAAAUAUCAAACAUGUGAAUUGUCAGCUAUGGUGCAAAUGAUCCUUAAAACAUCUUCCAUAGCUUCAUACAAGAAAUUAGGACAAGAUCAUAAAAGACACAGAUAACAUUUGGGUGAGCUAUCACAAAAUCUCAUUUACUCAUACGGCAUACAAAGGCUUUACUGUUCCUCAUCUGUUCCAAAAUAUAAGGCACGUUUGACUUCUACGAUCUCCAGUACACGACUUUGACUAUAAAUUUUACUUAUGAAUUGCUUACAAAAUUAGUAAAUGAACAUAUGGCACAAAAGUAUUUUACAAGACAAGUAGAACAAUAACAUUUCUUACAUGCUAAAUCUGUAUACUUCCAUAAACAUUAGUGGUCAAAGUUUUGGAAUCUUGACUUUCCACAAAUUCAUGUGCCUUCUACUAUGGAACGUACGGAGUAUUAAAUAUUACCUCAAAGAUAACUUCAAAGUUUUGGACGGAGGGAGUAGUAAGUUAGACUCCCAUGAAGCACAUCAUAUUCUUAUGCAAUAAUCAGUCUAUCGUACAGUGUUCACUGACAAAAAAUAUUCAAGAGGGGAGAAAUCGAGUACAAGUAUUUCCGUGUUGGUCACUGUUAUUAAACUUCACUUUGUUGCUUUAUUGCUAGCACAAACGCUGGCAGGCCAUAACACUAGUUCAUGGGCUGUGAGUUCAAGUAUUUCCACGAAGGUCACUGUUAUUGAGCUUCACUUUGUUGCUUCACUGCUAGCACAAAUGUUGUCAAGCCAUAGCACUAAUUCAUGGGUUAAUGGUCUCAGUUUAGGUGACUCACUAAUGCACAAACAUGCAAUAUCAAUCAUCUUCAUCAUUUGCAUCUCAAAUUUCUUGUCAUACAUUGCACGGUCCAAUACGUCGGCUUCACGGUGUUCUCCUUUCAUGUGCAUAACCCAUGAGACCAACUCCCUAGCUCCCUUCCUCUUGCACAUAUCAACAGGCCUCUUUCCUGUUAAUAACUCCAGAAGAACAAUGCCAAAACUAUACACAUCACCUUUGAAAGUGGCUACUGAAGACUGGCCAUACUCAGGGGGGAUGUAACCCAGUGUGCCAACAAGGUCAGUUGUCACAUGUGUAUCAUAGGGACAAAUUAGCCGAGCAAGCCCAAAAUCAGCCAAUUGAGCUUCAAAAUUCUCAUCCAGGAGUAUGUUGCUUGACUUGAUAUCACGGUGUAGUAUGUGAGGUUCGCAUGACAAGUGCAGGUAUGCCAAACCUCGUGCCGCUCCUUUGGCUAUCUGAAGCCUUCUCUGCCAGUUUAAUCUGGAUGGGCCAUCAGGCUUUUCAUGAAGCCAGUGGUCUAGGCUGCCAUUCGCCAUGUAAGAGUAGAUCAGGAGCCUGUCACUGCCAUUCCUGCAGUAACCUUGUAGAAGCACAAGAUUAGGAUGCUUAGCUUUUGAUAAAGUUUCCACUUCUGCUUUGAACUCCCUCUCCAUCUGGCCAAAAUCACCCGACAGUCUUUUGAUGGCGAUCUUUGCUCCAUCUGGCAAUGUUCCCUUGUACACUAGACCAAACCCACCACAACCAAUGAUGUUAGCCUGAUCAAAGUAGUUUGUAGAUUUCAAAAUGUCACUGAUAGUCAAUGCCUUGUCAUCAUCUUCGUUCUGAAACAGAAGUACCAGUGACGCUGGUGCCAACUCGAAUGCUACAUUUGUAUCCACAACAGCCUUAACUAUAUGAUCCUGCCUUCUGAAGCUUCUCUUCAACGCAAGUACAACAGCAACAGACAAAACCAUUGCUGCUCCAAUUGCAAUGCCAAUAAUUAUUCCUAAUAUGAGACCCUUGUUCUUCCGAUUUCCCGUUGCAGAGAUGAUGGGAGCAUGAUUCGACUGACAUGGGGAUAAGCCAAAGCGGGUGCCACAAAGGUUGGGGUUCCCCUCAUAAUCAGAACCAGUGAAUGUUGAGAAUUGCCCUCUUAAUGGAACUGUGCCCAUCAGAUUAUUGUAUGCCACACUGAAGCUUGAUAGAAAAUUCAACUUUGUCAAUGAAUAGGGAAUGCUUCCGGUGAGAUUGUUAUGUGACAAAUCCAAGGAUUCCAAGCUAGACAUGCCUGAUAGCUCAUCAGGAAUGAUACCAGAAAUAUUGUUGUUGCUGAGGUCCAAUACAUACAGGUUCUUGAGGCUCCCAAAGCCCGGCAAUAUGGCACCUAUGAGCUUGUUAUGGCUGAGAAUUAGAGACGGUGGAAAGCUGCUAACCUGUUUGUACUGCAACCCUUUGCCUGUUUUGUUCCUUUUAAUGAAGAAAGGAAAAUAAUCAGUCUCUGUGGAUUGCUGUGAUUUGUUGAAUGUAAGAAGUCCCUUCAUGCUCGAGAAACUGUUUGGUAUUACCCCUGUAAGUGAAUUGUUAGAAAGAUCCACAUAGAAUAGAAACUCGAGAUCACCAAUCCAUGCAGGAAUAUCCCCAGACAGUUGAUUCCAUGACAAAUCUAGGACCUUCAAUUCUCUGAAAUUAGCUAACCAUGGUGGUAUUGCUCCUGAAAGAUGGCUAUUAGCAAUGGCAAACACCUGGAUCUUAUGAAAGCCAUGUAUUCCAGUCAUCGGCCAGGCCUUCCCAUCAUGGAAGUUCUUUGUCAACACAAGGCUUGUUAGGCUUGGACAAUCUUGAAGGACAGAUAAUGCCGAGGAAACAUUUGUGAAGCUGUUGUUCGAAAGUGAGAUGUAGGACAAAAACUGAAGCUUUCUAAAAUCAGCUGGUAUUUCGCCACUGAGGUUAUUUGUGCCAAGAUUUAGGCUUCUGAGAUGAUGGCAAUCUGACAAGCUAUCAAUUGUGCCAAUAAACUUAUUUGUCCCAAGGUCAAGUGAGCUCAGUUGUGUCAUCUUCAAGCAAUUGAGGUUGAUCCUUCCAUUCAGUGAAUUGUUCCGCAAGUACAACAUCUUCAAUGAUGGUGAUUGAGACAAUGAAGCAGGCAAUGGGCCUCUGAAGAGGUUGGACUGUGCAGAGAAGUACUCUAACUUGCCAAGCCUACCAAAAACAUCUGGAAGGUGUCCAGUGAAGGAAUUAAAAGAAAUGUCCAGCUGAGCAAGGCUGGACAGAUUGCCAAACCUCGGGCUCAUCCUAUCAGUGAGCUGAUUCUCCUGCAGAGACAAAUUCUUCAGAAAUUGCAACUUGAAUAUGCCGUCUGGCAAGCUCCCGGAGAUGCUGUUGAGCUCGGCAUAUAGCUCCUCGAGCUUUGUGCAGUUUCCAAAGCCUUCCGGCAGUUCCCCGGCAAAGAGAUUCGAUGUGAAUCUCAUCACACGGAUCACUCGAGAUGACUCACAGAUGCUUGAAUCAAUCCUCCCGGUGAACAUAUUGUAGCCUGCGUCGAACACCGUGAGCUGCGAUGAACCAUGGAGUGUGGGAUGGGUGCCGCUGAAUGAGUUGAAGGAUAUGUUGAAGACCUCAAUCACCGGGAGCGAAACGUUGGCCGGGAAUGUGCCAGAGAGCUCGUUGUUGCUCACAUCGAGCCGCUGCAGCCGAUGGAGCUGAACGAGGGGUGCAGGGAUGGCACCACGGAGGUUGUUAUCGGAGAGGUUGAGCCACUGGAGAUGGCCCAGUUGUGCGAGCGAAGGUGCCAGCUCGCCCUUGAGUUUCCUGCCAUGGAGGUCCAGCCUGAUGACCCAGCCGCUGGCGUCGCAUGUGACCCCCACCCAUGCACAGCAGUUGGCCACUUCUGAGGUCGUGUUUGAGAGCGUCCAGCCGCUGAUGCCUCCGGUGACACCUCUCAGCAAGCCUUCCAGUGCACCAUAAUCAUCUGGGUUGCAGGAGCUUUGGUUGAGGGAGUAGACCGGAGACAGGAAGAGAAGCUGCACGGACAAGCACCACAGGAUGAAACAGCUUGGCCAUGUGGCAGUGCGUUGCAUCAAGAGAUGCCCCAUUGAUCCAAGAAGAGCUAUGCUGAUGCUCUUGAAUGGGGAAGAGAAAUUCUUGUUUGUUGUGUUCAGGAGCUAUGUGAUAUCUAAGCCAUUUGGCCCCAAGCAACAAUGAUGGCGGCAGCGAGGGAUGAGGGAGAGAGGUGAGGUGCGAGACGAUAGGACAUGAUAGCAGGAGGUCCGGUGCGUGCUCCGGUUUUGACCUGUGAUUGUGCAGGCACUCGGCCGUGGGAGUCGUGAAUUUUCUUGAGGAAAUUGAUUGUCUCUGUCAACUUGCUAGAGAGAUCCACGGUCGGAAAUCUUUUGACUUGCGUUCAAAGUUGGCCUAACCGUCCUUUUCAUCCUCGCUUUCCUUCUUCCUUUUGGCUGUUUUCUGGAAAUGAAUCUAAUAACCAGCGUGAAAGCAGACCGGUGAAGGAUACGGCCUGCAUACAAAAUGGAUAUUGCUAGAUUUUCGAAGAACCAGACUGACUAGUAUAACGCCCGUGCGUUGCCACGGGCUCUUCAAAAUUUAUAAUCAGUAUCUUUCAUUUAUCAUCCCCUCAUAUUGGGUGAUUAUAGGGUGCUCUAAUUAGAAACACAACAAUCAAAUAUUAGGAAAUUUCACCGAACGAACAACAACGAAUAAUACGAUAUCUAUCAAACGAAUAAAAUGAGGUCAUAUUUUUGGUCCGUCAUGCACUUCUGUUGAAAAGUGCCUAUCCCUUUUAGAAUCAACUCACUGUUUGCUCGCACGCAAAAAAAUACAUCUCUAAAGUGGGGAACCGAUCGGUGCCAAAAAGAACUCAAACUCCUAUCCAAUCUCGACUUCGUGCUCUUCCACUUCCAUUGAUAAAGAUGGGACGUCAAGGGUUUCAUCAUGAUGACCUCGAGCAGCUGCCGACAUCCCUCCCCACAUCUACCCCUACCCCCUGCUGCCGCUUGCACUGUCCUUGCUCCUCGAGGGAGCUAGGGACAAUGUUCUCUAGGAUGGGCAUGACCAGAUCCACGAGGAGGCCACAUUCUUCCAUGGGAACCCAACCAAGCACACCAUCCUCCGCAACCAUCCAAUUCCAGCCUAACAAAGUCAAGACCCGCCAUCGAUCCACAAAUCAGGCUCGCCGCAUCCAGGUUCACUGCAAGUCUGCGACGAGUCUGUAGUCGACAUCUUGACUUUGGCUAUCCCCACGGAAGAAUCAUCGGAUCCUGCUUACUUUUACCAUCACUUCGUCUCUUCCCAAGGCAGCGACACCACCCAGCCAAUCACCACCACCGCUUGCGGCUUGCCUACAUAAAAUCAUGAGAAAUCCCCACGGCGGUGCUGUAAGAUCACCUUGGCGACCUCGACAGUGACCGACUGGUCUAAGAUCUAAGCUAGCCGCUCUUUGUAGAAACCAAUAGAAGUAGGCAUGUGACUCAGAUUUGUUCUUUGGUGUGCAUGCGUUUCUUGCUGCCCACCAGCUCUUGUCUACAACUCGCCUAUCUCUGUACCAGCUCUUGGUCUACAACUCGCCUAUCUCCAUGCUCGAGACGACCAAGCUCGAUGCGCAAGCCGCAUACGUCUGCUAGAGCUAUAUCCAGACCCUAUGAUUUUUGGAUCACUGGCACUAUGGGUGCCAGGACCGGAGUCGCCCUCAUCCACCAAGUGGAUCAAGGAGGCCCACCACCUAGACUCUACAUCGCAACAUUUUGUGUUUUCCUAUAAAAAGUAAAGAACCUUCUCUAAUAAACGUAAAUAUAACCUUUUGGUUUUAUAGUCUCAACUUUCCUACACUCCAAUACCAGAAGGAUUUCUUGGUUUUAUUUGAUGACCUUCUUGAAUGUCAUUCACUUAGAAAGGUAGUAAUACAAUCUGUGAUAUUAAGGCAAAUUAUUAGUCAUAUUAAAGUGCAAAAGGCCCUAUAGGAGUCAAAGCAUGACUUUUAUGGUUAUACUGUAAUUUGCAAGAUCUGAGAUUUAUGCAAGUGUACAAUUAGAGAAGAGCCAAUUAAAUAGAUUUUCACAUUCAGAAUAGUACGAUUAGCAGUAGCACUUCAAUUUUUUCAUGUUUGAUCAGCUUGCUAGGUGGUUAUCACUAAGCAUGUUGGAACGAUGAGCAUAACCUAACUUAGUUCAGUACGUGUUGCUGCAAAUUAGUUCAGUACGUACGAAGCUGUUGCUAAUUUCAAUGCCUGGCUGUUGCAAGUUUCUAAUGAAAAAGUACUUCAGGUCAAAGGUCAGGGAAUAUACACUUUUGUUAUCAUGGUUGUUUCCUUAUAGUGAACAACUUUGAUCACCACUUCAGCAGCUACUAUCUAUAAGAAGACAUUACCUAAGUAGAUACAGGCAAAGAAAGCAUGUAGGCAAAACCAGAAUUAAAAACAUCCUUCUCAAUGGAGCUCGUGCAGUUCGGAAGACCCUAAUCAUCGAUGAGGGACCCCUCCGAUGGUAGCAUGGCGUGACAACUGCCGUCAAUGACGACACCCAAAGUACCUUGCACAAUCCAUCGAUCCAGUUCGGAACAAUCAAGCACAUACCUUGCAAAGUGAUGUGGAUCUGAAGCAGAGGUGGGAAGGUAAAGGCUCAGGUGAGGUGGAAUGAGACGUUGAUAUAGAAGUGCACGCAUGAGAAUAAGGCGGUGCCCAGGAUGGAUCUCCAUCGGAGGAGGCCGGAUCCGCUGGGGAGGAGGUCGCUGUAGUACCUGCCAUCUGUGCGAUGGAUCACGGGGCUGGCAGGCAGGGGGAGGGGAUAGGAGGGAGGGGUGGGCUAGAGCGCAGAUGGUGGGUGCCCCCGACGACGGCUGGGAAGGAUGGUGGAGGAGGUGGAUGAGGAUGGCGGCGGCGGCGUCUGCGGUUGCGCCUCGUCCGCAGCCGUGCUGGUGGUGGUCGAUGCGAGAGCCGGAUGGCAUCGGCCAGAAUCAGGCAGGGGCGACAAAGAUUUAGAGGAGAUAGAGAAUGAAGGCGAUGAGCGAUGGGAGGAAGGGCCAUCGGCGAUUGGGGUGGCCUCAGAUCCGCCCUCCGUGGCCGCCUAUUUCAUGGGACGAACACCCGUGCUCACCGUCGGGCUCGCCUUCGACCGCUGCCUCGCCGACAUUCAUGACGUAGAGCCCCUUCCUCCGAUCCCAUUUGCCAGGGAGGCAGCGCCAUCCUUCAUCGCAGAGAACGAGUCCACACUGAGAUCCCAACCAGAUCGUGAUUGCGCCUCCCCAAACCGCAGCGGCACAUCCCACUCCAUCAACGACCAACCUAUAUGAGGCGGAGGGUCAGUGUAGGACGCGAGCGCCGUCACCAUGGACGUGGGGGACACCGUAGGUGGGAAGGAGGCGGCGACGGCGUCUGUGUCAGGAAGAUCGCACGACGGCAGCGGCGUUUACUCGAGGGGAUCGAGAGGAGCUGCGUUUGGUGCCGGGUGGGUUCUUUGGUGCGUGCGUGGGGCUGGAGAUUGUGAUAGGUGAUCAGGUGAGGGCGUGCCAUACCUGGAUCGAUAGCCUUACCAUACCUGGUGGUAAUUUAAAUUUAUUACCAUAUUCGAUAUUUCCCGAGUUAUGGCCUUACCAUACCUGGAUUGAUAGCCUUUGGGGUAAUUUAAAUUUAUUACCAUAUAAUUACCAUAUUCAAAAUUUCCUGAGUUAUGACCUUACCAUAUCUGAAUUGAUUUAUUACUAUACGUGGAUUAAUUAUGAUUUAUUACUAUAUGAUUUAUUACUAUACGUGGAUAGCCUUACCAUACCUGGUGGUAAUUUAAAUUUAUUACCAUAUUCGAUAUUUCCCGAGUUAUGGCCUUACCAUACUUGGAUUGAUAGACUUUGGGGUAAUUUAAAUUUAUUACCAUAUAAUUACCAUAUUCAAAAUUUCCUGAGUUGUGACCUUACCAUACCUGGAUUGAUUUAUUACUAUACGUGGAUUAAUUAUAAUUGAUUACCAUAAAUACGUUGGGUAUUGCUAGUCAGACGAGAAAAAAGAAAAACCGAUGGGAGGGGCUGGUGGGAGGUGGGACGAAGAAAAACCGGUUGAAAAUAAACAAGUGGGGGGACUAUUGAACCAAUUCAUCUAUUAAGAGUAGAGAUUAUGCUUCUCCAUUUGUGCCUUUGGUUAAUCGUUCACUGUUGAAGAUACUACUGCGCAACAAGUGCUCAAAGGGGCAGUCUAAACAGGCAAAACAAUAUUGCAAAUAUUAGCACUCGAAAAAUAAAAUUGCAAAUAGGAGGAUUACAUUUAGUGGACGCUGGCAUGGACGUAAUACCAAAACCGUGAUCAAUUUGGAAUGCUUUUCAUAAGAUAUUUAUACGAAGAUAGCUAGUUGCUAGGCUUGUACAUCCAAAAACUGAAGGAUGGUUGGUUGUGGCAGGAGAGUCAACGGCCAGCGGCAAGCUAUGCAUGUGCAGCCGCCGCUUUCGGCCGGGCCGGGCAACGCCCUGCCGUGCCCGCCCGUGAACAUACACAGCACGGCAUGGCACGGCUCCAAAAGCUAGGCGCUUAUUAUACGGGACAAAGGGCUGGCGAAAAUUCUACUCGUGCUCUGCAUUUUGGUCUAUUUUAUCAGGCUCUCGAGUCGACGGCUGAUAAAAUCUGUGGAUCACGCUCUGCACUGCGUUGUUGGUGAGAGCUGGAUUUGGGCCAUCGGUUUAAUGCUAUCAGACUUAGUGUCUACCCUAAGAAAAUAGAAAAAAUUCCUUAUUUGACACCGUAAUUAAACUUUAUGCCCUAUUUGUCAUCGACAAAUAAUUUCUUCCCUGUCUAACAAUGAUUUUAAUUUCUAUGCAUUUUGUAACACUUAUGUCCAUUUUAAGUCUAAAUAAACCUAAAUGAACCCUUUUACCCUCAUGUGGUAUGUUU